rnacentral:rRNA from 1 species
AACGCGAAGAACCUUACCAGCCCUUGACAUGUCCCGUAUGGGGCGGAGAGAUCCGUUCCUUCAGUUCGGCUGGCGGGAACACAGGUGCUGCAUGGCUGUCGUCAGCUCGUGUCGUGAGAUGUUGGGUUAAGUCCCGCAACGAGCGCAACCCCCAUCCUCAGUUGCCAUCAGGUUAAGCUGGGCACUCUGGGGAAACUGCCGGUGACAAGCCGGAGGAAGGCGGGGAUGACGUCAAGUCCUCAUGGCCCUUAUGGGCUGGGCUACACACGUGCUACAAUGGCGGUGACAGAGGGGAGCGAGGCAGCGAUGCCAAGCCAAUCUCAAAAAGCCGUCUCAGUUCGGAUUGUUCUCUGCAACUCGAGAGCAUGAAGUUGGAAUCGCUAGUAAUCGCGGAUCAGCACGCCGCGGUGAAUACGUUCCCGGGCCUUGUACACACCGCUCGCGA